UUUUGCUACCUUACACGGUGGAAAAUGGGUUUUUAUUUAAUAGAGUUUGUAUAUGUGUGAGUUUUUGUAUUUAUUCGAAGUACCCGUAGCUAGGCAUUAUGAGAAGAUACUUAAUAUCUAGGAUAAAGCUGGUUUAAAAAAUCGUAAAUGCUGCUCUUACUGAUUGGAUGUUGGUAUUGUUUGCUGGAAACACAUUUUCGUUCUAUUGGAAAAGAAAUUCUGCGGGUUCCUAGAAACCGCCCUAGAAAUGCACAUGAACCAUAGCCAAAAGUCUGUCCAUUUAUGCUGGAGAAUUUCAUCAGAAUUUCGAUAUGAGCCAAGUCCGCGAACCGCUGCAACGUCCCCCGGAAUGUCCCCACUACGUCCAAUCGAAAUUUUCUGGAUCAACAUAAUACAAUAGCUCUACUCAAACAAUUUUGUCGCGGAAACUGGAAAGGAAUUGAUAAAAAUCUAAGCAGGAACGUACACACUGGAAGGUCACGUGUGCCAAAAGAGGUACAGGACUCAGCGAUAGCCAGCAUUUCUCGGGAAAAUAGAAUAGAAUUCACGGACAGUCUAUGCUUCUGCUAAGAAACCCGGUGAAGAAUACCAACCUGCAUAUGUUGAAUUCCGUCAGCGAGGUAUAGGAGUCCGAGCUGCAAACACCUAAUCUCGCAGCAAAUUCCAAAUGAGAACCACCACAGAAUGCUAGCGUAUUUUAGCAACGAUCUUAUCAAUACGUAGCGUCUCAAACCAUACAGGAUCGAGUACAGCUCGCCCAUUAUGUUGACUUAUAGGAACAUCAUGAUCUAGCUGUUCCUUGAAAGAGAGAUUGACUGCUAGAAAUACGCCUUGAUACCUGAUACAGAGGCUCUCUUUCGAGGUUCUAUCCAUUGAGCGUAUAUGUGAACAGCUCUGGAUUUCUUGAUCGACUAAAGGCGAUGGUGACACCUUUACGAAGAAGACUGAACCAGGAACUAAAGUAACU